AAUGAUUUUCUAGAUAAUUGAAACUUAACAUGUUAACUGUGAAGACUUUAAAAAACUGAUGCGGUGAACUAUGCAGAUCAGAGGUCCACAAUAAGUUCAGUGUCAAUAUAGUGAGUCCUUAGGAGAAGGGAGGCCACCAAGUUGUCUAAGGAGGGGUGAAUUGGCCUAGAUUGGAAAUGGACCAGGUCAAAAGUCCUGUGCUGAUCAGUCGUGAGAUCGGGUCUGUAACUAGCCUCUGGACCUCCAGCUUGGGCAAGAUAAAGAGACCCAGUCU
rnacentral:SRP_RNA from 1 species